AUGGGAACGCGAAGAACCUUACCUACUCUUGACAUCCAGAGAACUUAGCAGAGAUGCUUUGGUGCCUUCGGGAACUCUGAGACAGGUGCUGCAUGGCUGUCGUCAGCUCGUGUUGUGAAAUGUUGGGUUAAGUCCCGCAACGAGCGCAACCCUUAUCCUUUGUUGCCAGCGGUUCGGCCGGGAACUCAAAGGAGACUGCCAGUGAUAAACUGGAGGAAGGUGGGGAUGACGUCAAGUCAUCAUGGCCCUUACGAGUAGGGCUACACACGUGCUACAAUGGCGCAUACAAAGAGAAGCGACCUCGCGAGAGCAAGCGGACCUCAUAAAGUAUGUCGUAGUCCGGAUUGGAGUCUGCAACUCGACUCCAUGAAGUCGGAAUCGCUAGUAAUCGUAGAUCAGAAUGCUACGGUGAAUACGUUCCCGGGUCUUGUACACACCG
rnacentral:rRNA from 1 species